UGGGAUUUCAUGAACGUAAUAAAAGAUUUGGGAUUCUUGUAAACUGAAAAUGAUUUUCUACUUCUCGUGGUAACAAGUUUUAAAAGGAAAAGGUUUCCUUGUGGGAAACGACUUUUAAAAGGUUUUCUUUUUUGUUUUCAUGACUUAGUGUUUUAAAACGAGUUUUCGGGUAGGAAACAUUUUAAACUAACAGAUGUGGAUUUAUGGAUAAUUAUGAUAAAAUGAAUGCGAAUGUGAAUGGUAUAUAACUUUGUGGAUGUUCAUAUGUGUGGUUGUAGCCUGUAUUGCGAUUGUUGUACUUGUGCGACGCUGUGCAAAUACAGAGGAGACUCUGUUCGUGUGAACAGUAGACUUCCUGUAUUUGUGGCGGAUCUGGUAUACCCUGUGGUCAGGUUUUUCCAAAAAAAUGUUGGGGCACUUUCGCUUUACUUUUAAAUCAAAAAGGGACCCUGGGGCGUGACACCAAGCCUUUUGCCACUUGCGCUAGGGACGGUCGGUAUCCUAAUCCUAAUCUUCAUGUAAGAUUC
rnacentral:lncRNA from 1 species